AUUUAAUUUUUCUAAGAUCUAAGUGUUGUUUUUUUUUUUCAUGUAGAGUAAUGAACAAAUCAUCUUCAUUCGCUAUAGAUCUGAGCAAUUAUCAAUUUUUUUGAUUUUUUUUUAACAAAUCAUUUUCAUAAUUUCUGUUAAAUCAUCUUCUCGUCUCUCUCUCACUCUCACUCACUCUUUCUUUCUUUUUCUCACUUUUCUUCUUCUCCUUCUCUCAUCUCUUCCCUUUUCGUCGAAGGAGGAACUGCUUGUAUCUAUAAGAUAAUGUGGAAGAAAUUUGUGAUUUUUUUGCAUUUAUUUGAUUCUCAUAUAGUAUACGGCUUUUGUAGGUAAGGGACAAACCUUUGAUAUGGCAUGUGGGUAAUAGAUUCAAUCUUGCUUUUGUAGGUGAGAGAGAUAACUUCAAUCUGGCAGACAGACGAGCUUAGUCACUACAAACCUACGCACGUUGAAGAAGCCAGGGUCAGUAAGCUAUGGGAAGCUAAGAAUUAUUACAUACCAUAUGUUUUGUUUCUCUGUAAAGUCGUUUAAACAUAGCUUCACUUGUUCAUUUUAUUAUCUAUGGCUUGAACAUUGUUUAGAAGUCCCUUUGGAAAGCUGUACCUCAUUACUUACACCGUCUCAACAAUGCUUAAAGAAGCAUACUGGAAGGCCUCUUCCGUUAACCAAUUAAGUUUGGGUCUUGAAUGGGAGGUGAUAGAGAUAGAAAUCCGAAUGUCACAAAAGAUGUCUCUCUCGUAUCUAGGUGGAUGGCUAUUGAUCUGUACAUUCAUGAAGUUGAUAGCAUCAGAUUUUAACUAUCCAUGAAUCGAUUUAGUGAUAAAUUGUUAAAUCUUGAACGCAAG